GGAGACCCCCUCAACUAUAUAGAGAUGUCAACGGAGCGGAUUCAGGGCGGAUUUUCAAAAACCCGAAUCCAAACCUGACUCCAAACUCAAGACCCGAACUCGAACCCGAACCCGACGGAUUUUAAAAAUCCAUAUCCAAACCCGAACCCGAACCCGAACCCGAAAAUUUGAACCGGAAAUAAUUAUUUCUUUUUUCAAUAUUUCAAAAUAUAUUAUAUUAAAUCUAAAUUUUUAAAAUACAAAUUCAAAUAUAACAUUAAAUUUUUAUAUAUNAUAUAUAUAUAUAUAUAUAUAUGUAUAUAUAUAUAUGUAUAUAUAUAUAUUUCAAUUUAAGCUUCUAUACUAGUCAAAAGUUUUAUCAAACCUAAUAAAUAUACUAGUUACUUUGAUUAGUCUUAGUUUUAUUUUCUAAAAAAAUAUUAAAAAAAAAUUGGUGAAAUCACCAAUUGAUUUGAUAAAUCUCCAAUUUUCUGGACUAAAGUUACUUAAUCCUCGAUUCAAACUUUCUACAACAAUUAUGGAGAAGGACAAAAAAAAAAAAGAAGAAGCUACAUUCAUAUCUAUAAGAUUAAUUUGAAUAUUAAGGAAAUAAAACAAGGUNUUUUUCAAUAUUUCAAAAUAUAUUAUAUUAAAUCUAAAUUUUUAAAAUACAAAUUCAAAUAUAACAUUAAAUUUUUAUAUAUAUAUUAUAUAUAAUACAAAAUAAAUUCGGGUUCAGGUUCGGGCCGGGUACAGUCAAAAUCCAUAUCUGAAUCCAUAUCCGUCGGGUUUCUAUUUUUGAUAUCCAUAUCCGAAUCCAUAUCCAUUUAGCAUCGGAUAUAUCCGUUUCAUUCAGAUUCGGGUUCCGAUAAAAUUUCGGAUAUCCAUACCCAUUGACAUAUACCUACAACUAUAGGACGUUGAAAUGGACCCCUCAACUUUCACUUUUUGACUAAGCCCCCUCAUUUUAUAUAUAUNGAAAUAAAACAAGGUUUUUCUAGAAGUGACAAAACCUUAGAAACCUUUGCUCGAUCAUUUAUCCCGGUUAUUACUUAUCUAAACUUUGAAAACUUGCAUAUAAUCCAGUCAACUUUUAACCCACAAUCUCUUUAGUAGGGAUGUCAAUGGAUCAGAUUCGAGGUAGAUUUUCAAAAAUUCGAACCCAAAUCCGACUCCAAACCUGAAACCCGAACCCGAACCCGACGAAUUUUAAAAAUCCAUAUCCAAACCCGAACCUACCAAAAAUUCGAAACCCAAAUCUGAAUCCGAAUCCGAAACAAUUAUUUCUAUUUUCAAUAUAUCAAAAUAUUACAUUAAAUCUAAAUUUUUAAAAUAUAAAUUCAAAUAUUUCAUCAAAUUUUUAUAUGCAUAUUAUAUAUAAUGUAAAAUAAAUUCGGGUUCGGGUCGGGUUUGGGUUCGGGUCGGGUACAGUCACAAUCCAUAUCCAAAUCCAUAUCCGUCGAAUUUUUGUUUUCGAUAACCGUAUCCGAAACCAUAUCCAUUUAGCAUCGCCGUUCGGAUUCGGAUUUGAGUUCGGAUAAAAUUUCGGAUAUCCAUACCCAUUGACAUCCCUACUCUUUGCCUCUUCUAUCCAUCUUUUGUCUUAUUUUAUAUUCCUACAAAUUUACAUUACAUCAGACGUCAUUAAAAAUAGUUAAUUUUGAGACCACUUGAAUACUAGUUAAUUGAUACCAAAAAAUUAUGAAAUUUGAAACUUGCAAAGUUCAAAUAGUAAUAAAGUGUAAUAUGGCCAAUUGUCGAUUCAGAAUGUCUAUCCCAUCGUCAAAAUUGAUGUAGUGCUAGAAAAUUCUGGGUCUAACCGAAAGCCACAUAAGCCCAAGAAUAUGACAUGCCUAAUAGAACUUAUGGAACUUAAAAGCUUAACUUUAUGGUUUAAUGGUACCGAUUGUCGAUUAAGAUAUCCCAAUUGUUAGAAAGAAUAUAGAAUUAGAGAGUUCAGAGCCUAAUCCAGGACCACAUGAGCUUAGAAUAUAACAUACGUAGCGGAAUUCCUUCAACUUAAAACCUUAAGCCUAUUAGGUAUGGAUCUCCUAGUCUACAUCGGCCCUUUUACUCUCUCAUAUUAGACAACAUCGCCAAAAAGGAUUAUGAGAUUUGGGCUUAAGGGCAAGCUAAGCCCUCAUUAUAUCACACCCUACAAGAUACUAGAGCAGAUUGAUCCUAUCGCAUAACUAGAUUGCAUUUCCAGCAAGCUUCGGCGAGUGCAUAAUGUCCUUCGCGUCUCAAUAUUUUGAAAGUAUAUCUGUGAUCCCACGCAUGUUAUUGACCCAACUUCGAUGUCUACACUUGUUCGUUGAGGAUGAUGGUACGUGUAUACAUGUAUAAGUAAGUUUUAGGGAUGAAACUUUUUUAAAAGGGGGAGUGAUGUACUGUGGUACCCACCUCCAUAGCUCGAUCCUCUUAGCUAUUUUUGGUGUAACUUGUUCAGCUAGAGGAGUUUUAAUUUCUGUGUCAGGUUUUAGAAACAUAAUUUUGAGGAUUCAAAACAUGAAUAGAAAAGGUGGCAGAAAGUUUUGGUCUGUGUGGAACCUGAGUAUUGGUUCUGGAAUUAGGGCAUAUUCUAGGACAUAACAAGUCGUAUUUCAGAACAUGAGCUGCUGGUUGAGUGUGUGGGUUUGGGGGUAUAUACCAAGUUGUGGAAAGGUAGGGAGUUUAGUGGCAAUUGUUCACUCCUUUCUAUAUAAGGUUCCCUCGGAAUUCUAGCUCCUAUUUCUUCUCCUCUACUCUGUUAGAGCCAUUUUUCUUUCCUUCCUACUCACUUACACUCUUUACUUAUUUUCUCCCCUCCCUUGCUCAAGCUCCUCAAUGCACCUUGGAACCUAUCUGUCACGCACCGAGACUGCCAAUUUAGUCGGUUUGGGCACGCACACAGACUACCGAACGGACAAAGCCUUUCCUGUCUGCCCAAGACUCAACAACAUCAUGUACAUAAAGUUUGCCUAUGUAGCCAUAUGGUGUGUCCACAUUGGCGGGUCUUAAUUUAACCCGAUCCACUUAGGAUGUCGAUUAGGACUUAUCCUAAUAGGUUUAAGAUAAUAAUAAAUUAUAUGUUUCUUAUCAGUUAAGAAACAUAUCUACGAGAGGAUAUAUCAGUUAAGAAACAUAUCUACAAGAGAAUAUCUAUCAUAUCCUAGUUUAUUCUAAUCUCUUUGUGAGAUUCAGGAUUUUUAGGGGUUCCGUUAUUCUAUAAAUACGUCCCCUUGUUUCUCCUAUCUGCGACGAUUGAUAUUAGAAUUAAUUCAAUAUUUCAUUAUUCUCACUCUUCUUCCUCUCUGGGAUUUCCACUUACAUUCCUGGGGUUUUGGAGUGUAGACAUAGAAGAGGACUCUGGUAGCCCUCUUCGAUCGGCAUCCGUCGCAUCAGAUCCACAUCCGAUCCGUGGCGUAAGGCGUACUCGAAGGAGAAGGCGAGAAACGUGGGAGAUCCAGAAGCAUCGAGACAAGGACGAUCCAAGAAGGCUUGUAAAACAAGCAAUCCGAUCCGAUCUGGGUUCUAGGAUACGUUGGCUAUCCGGUUUGUAAGUUUCCGCUGCCUAUUAUUUCCAACAAUUGGCAUCAGAGCUUGAAUGCUUGUUUUCGCCUUAUAUGAUCAUGCUUGUGAUGCGUUUUUUUUAGAUCGCAUUCGUUGAUCAAUUUUUUUUGGGUAGAUUGGUUCUACAAUUUUUUCGUUUUCUAUGUAAAAUCGAUUAAAAAGAAUGAAAGAAAACUAAAUUAGUUUUAGUUCUCUUAAAAUUGAUCAUAAAUUCAUAAUGUGAAUUUUUUUUUUUUCGUAAUUAAAAUAUAAUAAGAUCGCAUGUUUUUGGUUGAUCAAUCCUUGAUGUAGAUCGGUUCUACAUUUUUUUGAUUUUUUUGUGAAAUUAAAAAGAGAAAAAGAAAAGUUAAAUUAGUUUUAAUUUUUCUUUUGAUCAUCAUAGGACAUGUGAAUAUUUUUUUCGUGCAAUUUUAAAAAAAAAAAUCACUGCGAGCGGCAUGACACGACCCGCUGCGUACGCCGGGCGCACCCGCGCGAAGCGCGCAGGCUCGGCCUGCUGCGGUCGCUAGCCCACACCCGCGCAACCGCCUGCUGCGGGCGUAGGCUCGCACCUGCGCACCGGCGCGGGCCCGAAGGAGCGCACCGGUGCAGGCCAGGCCCGCUGCGGGUGCGAGGCACUCCCGCCCGCACCGCGGGGGCCCGAAGGAGCGCACCGGGGCAGGCCUGGCCCGCUACGGGUGCGGGCCACUCCCGCUCGCUCCUUGCCGGCCCGAAGGUGCACACCGGCGCGGGCCCGGCCCGCUGCGGCCGCGGGGCGCACCCGCACUCGCCGCGCGGGCCCGGCCCGCUGCGGGAGCAGAGCAACCGCCCGCACCGUGCGGGCCUGGCCCGCUGCGGUGCGGGCGCGCAUGCACGCGCUCCCCGCGGCCCGGCCCGCUGCGGGCACUGGCUGCACCCGAACGCACCGCGCAGGCCUCGGCCUGCUGCGGGCACAGGCCGCAUCCGAGCGCACCGCACAGGCCCGGCCUGUUGCGGGCUCUCGGGCCGCACCAGAGCGUACCGUGCGGGCCCGACCCCUGUGGGCACAUGCGCCCUGUGCUGGGCUCGGCCCUGUACGGGCCUGCAUGAGCCCGAGCAGGCUCUGAAGCCGGCCCGGCUCGCCGCGCGCAGUCCAAAAUAAAAAAAAAUCCCUAUGUGGAUAUUUUUUAAUUUUUGCGUAGAAAUUUUUUUGGAUACAUAUUUUUUUCUAUGCCGAUUUUAGAACAUGCAUGUGUUGUUUGUUUCAUUUAUUCUAUGUGGGUGUUUUUUUAAAUGCUUAUGUAGCAUGUGAUUGUAUAAAUUUUUUGGCAUAUAAGUACUUAUGUUAUUUUGGUGAGUUUUUCAACAAAAUUUAAUUUUGAAAAAACGGGUUCGACGUGUGCAGCAUUCCUAUAGAAUAUUAUUUUUCUGAUGUACAUCUUGUAGUGAUGUAGUAGGUUUUAAUUAUGCAAAAGGUGAUGUAAUAAUUAAGGCCUUGUAAAGUAAUGUGUUUUGCACAGUGUCGACGGUUUUCAAAUUAAAUUUUGGCAUAAGUACUUAUUUUUUUAUCUGUGUGAUGAUAUUAUGAGAUUGGUUCUCCUCAUAUGAAUAUUUUUUUAAGAAAAGAUAUGUUCUUCAAAAUGGACGAGUUCCAAUUUUUGGAUAAGUUUCAAAAUUAAUAGAAAAUUAAUAAGAUUGUGAUAUUUUGAACUGACACUGGGUGAUGAUUACGAGCAUAGCGAAGUUUUCGAUCCCGUUGUGUCGAGGAUAACAUUCCAAUCUUGUUAAUUUUUUUCAGAAUAUAUGCCUAAUGUCCAAACCUUUUUUUUUUAAUGUAGUGAAAUGACUUCCAAGAACAUCAUAGCUGAUCUCACCAGGGGUUAUAAGCUAGAUGGAAAUAAUUAUGAUAUCUGGCAUAGAAAAAUGCAAUACCUGCUCAAUGAACAAGGGGUUCUAGAAACCCUUUCUGUCAAAAGAGUUCUGCCUGCCGAAGACACUGUUUCUGAGCAUGAUAAAGAGAUCUAUAACAAAUGUGUCAAGGAGGAUCGAACUGCUCGGUAUACUUUGUUGUGUGCCAUGCAAGACGACCUCAUUGGACAGUUUGAGAUCUUUGAAGCUGCCAAGGACAUGUGGGACAAUCUGAAGAUUACUUUUGGUCAAACUUCAUCUACGAGGCUACAUGCCUUAAAUCUCAAAUUUCUACAGUAUACUAAAGACCCGAAGCAUUCAAUGGCUGAGCACCUUCGUGUGAUGAGCGUCAUGAUUCGGGACCUCAAGACUGCUGGAAACGAGCUCACUGAUGAGCAACAAGUUCUAGCAGUGAUUCGUUCACUGCCUGAUACUGAAUGGUCCCAGAUGAAGCUUCUGAUGACGCACAGCGAGAACAUUAAAACGUUUAAUGACAUCUCGCGCCAUCUCGAGCUCGAGGCAGAGCGCUUAGAAGUGAACCGUUCUGUCGCUCUUGUUGCACGCUCCGAGAAGCGCAGUGGGAUUGCACCCAAGCGCAAAAAGCAUCACAACAAUGGAGCGCAGAAGAAAUGGAAUCAAGCUCCUCAGGGUGGAGUUGGAAAGCGCCGCAGAGGCAAGCGCGCUGGCAAUAAGGAUGCUACAAAGCUAAAAUGCUACAAUUGCAAGAAGAAGGGUCAUUUCGCUCGGAAUUGUCCUGAGCCGAAAAAGGUAACCCUACCACUCAACUCACACUGUUUUGUUUGCUCUCAUGCUUUAGUAGCUCAUUCUCUUCCUGAUUGGAUUGUGGAUACAGGAGCAAACAAACACGUAGUUCGUGACCGAGUGGGGUUCGUAGAUUAUCAUCGAGUACCGUCUGGCACACAGUUUGUCACCCUUGGGAAUGGCACGAAGGAAGAAGUCCUUGGAGUCGGUUCGUACCAACUCAAGUUGCGUGGUGGCCGCACUUUACUUCUUCAGGACGUGCUAUAUGCACCCGGAAUUCGAUGUAAUCUAUGUUCAGUUUUAGCUUUGUUGCAUCUAGGAUAUUCAUUUCAUUUUGACAGAGACCGCCUUGAUAUUUCCUUUCAUGGUACUUUAUUUGGAUAUGGUACAUUAGUUGAUGGUUUCUUUAAAUUAGAUUUGGAGGAUGAUUCGUUUGCAUUUGCUUCUUCUUCUUCUUCUCUCUGUGAUGAAUCUGUUAAAUGGCAUGCCAGAUUAGGCCAUAUAGGUCAAGAAAGAAUGAAUAGACUGGCUCGAGAAGGCCUUUUGGGGUCUCUCGCCAAAGUUGACCUAUCUGUGUGUGAGCCUUGUCUGGCUGGAAAGGCAUGUAGAAAGCCUUUUGGUAAGGCUACUCGUGCCUCUCAUCCUUUAGAGCUAAUCCACUCUGACAUUUGUGGGCCAAUGAAUGUGAGGGCCCGGCAUGGUGCGUGCUAUUUUCUCACAUUCAUUGAUGAUUAUUCCCGUUAUGGAUAUGUCUAUUUGCUUUCUCGCCGAUCUGAAGCUUUAGAUUGCUUCAAGCGCUUCGUUGCGGAGGCUGAGAAUCAAAUAGAAAGAAGUGUAAAGGUGCUUCGCACUGACCGAGGUCGUGAGUACUUGUCUGAUCAGUUCAAGACUUACUGUGAGCAAAAGGGCAUUAAUAGACAGCUCACUAUUCCUGGUACUCCGCAACAAAAUGGUGUUGCAGAGCGAAGGAAUCGUACUCUAUUAGACAUGGUUAGGUCGAUGAUGGCGCAAGCGCAACUUUCCAUAAAUUUUUGAGGAGAUGCUCUUUUGACUGCAGCCUACAUCCUUAAUCGAGUCCCUAGCAAAUCAGUGCCAUCUACCCCAUAUGAGUUGUGGAGCGGUAGAAAACCAAGUUUACACUACUUAUGCCCUUGGGAUUCAGCUGGAUAUGUUCACAGCCUCUCACAUAGAUUCGAAAAACUCGGCCCUAGAGCGAGCAAGCAUGUGUUCAUCAGAUACCCUGAAAAUUCGAAGGGCUAUGUGAUGUAUAGUGAACACCCAGAUGGUGGUAUGACCGAGAUUGAGUCUCGUGAUGUGGAAUUUCUAGAAGGAGAUUUUCCAAGCAUUGGUAAAAUGCGAAGAGACGUCGGAUUGUAUGAGUUACAGGACGACGCUACCCCAUCUGCAGUUGAGGGUGAUCGAUCACUUCCCGAAGUUGCUGAAGGAAGUGGUAGCGAUCCUCCGGCUAGUGGGAGUGCUUCUUUGAGUAAAAGCAUACCCUUAGAAGUCGACAGAUUAGACCCUCCAUUACGCAGAAGUGAACGUGGACAUAUUCCCCGUCGACAUUUUGAGAUCGAAUGGGAUAUUUUCAUGUGCACUCCGCUCGAUGAUGAUGAACAUGCUUCUUAUAAAGAAGUAUUACAGACGUCAGCUUGCAGUGAGUGAAUGGCUGCUAUGAAAGAUGAGAUGGACUCUAUGAGCAAGAACCAAGUAUGGGAAUUGGUUGACCUUCCGCCUGGACGCAAGUCUAUUGGAAAUAAAUGGGUUUUAAAAAUUAAGCGCAAGGCGGAUGGAUCAAUCGAUAAAUACAAGGCUCGGCUCGUGGCUAAGGGCUACACUCAGAGGCAAGGGGUAGAUUACAACGAGACGUUUGCUCCUGUUGUGCGAUUUGCCUCUAUUCGUUUGAUUCUAGCUUUAGUGGCAUACCUAGAUUUGGAAUUGUUCCAAAUGGAUGUCAAGACAGCUUUUCUCAAUAGAGAAUUGGCGGAGGAGAUCUAUAUGGAUCAACCUGAGGGUUUUGUACUCAAAGGUCAAGAAGACAAAGUUUGUCAUCUUAAAAGAUCCAUUUACGGUCUCAAGCAGUCGUCGAGACAGUGGUAUUUCAGGUUUCAUGAAGCCAUCACCUCUAUCGGUAUGUCCAUGAUAGAGGAGGACUACUGUGUAUAUGUCAAGAAGACAGAGAAUGGGAUUUUGUUUCUCUCUCUAUACGUCGACGAUAUACUAUUGGCUGGAAAUGACAUGGAGUUAAUCAAUACCACUAAGGAGUGGUUGUCUCUCAAUUUUAAAAUGAAAGACAUAGGUGAGGCGAGCUAUGUGCUUGGAGUGAAGGUCAUCCGUGAUCGCUCUAGAAAGCUUCUUGGUUUGUCUCAAGAAACUUAUAUUAAAAAGAUUCUAGAGCGUUUAGGAUGCAUCAUUGUAAACCCAUUGACACUCCAGUGGAAAAGAAUCACACUCUGAGUCUUGAUCAGUCUAAAAUGGAUAAAAAAAGGAGCAAAUGAGUAGGGUUCCUUAUGCGAGUGCAAUUGGCAGUUUGAUGUACGCUAUGAUGUGUACUCGAACUGACAUUUGCUUUGCUGUUAGCUUGGUAAGUCGUUACUAGAGCAACCCAGGAUCUAUUCAUUGGCAAGCGGUCAAGAGAAUCCUUCGAUAUUUAAAAGGAACCAGUGAUUUCGUUCUCUGUUUUCAAGGUAGGGACUUGAGAUUGAAAGGAUAUGGUGAUGCUGAUUGGGGCGGUGAUAGAGAUGAGCGCAAGUCCACUUCAGGCUAUGUGCUUAUGCUUGGAGGUGGUGCAAUUUUCUGGUGCAGUAAGAAGCAGAGCUGUAUUGCCUUGUCAACCAUGGAAACAGAGUACGUUGCUUGUUCAGCGGCCGUUCAGGAAGCUGUUUGGCUGAGGAGAUUUCUCCAGCACCUCGACAUCAUGACUCGAGCAAAUGAACCUGUCGAGAUGCUCUCUGACAGCAUGGGUGCCCUGGAGUAUGUAAAAGAUCCAAAGUAUCAUGGUAGGACUAAGCAUAUUGAUAUCCGUUUUCACUACAUUCGAGAGAUGAUCAGGCUCGGCGAGGUCAUUCUUAGACACAUCUCCACCACUAGGAUGGUGGCUGAUCCGUUGACCAAGCCGAUAGCUAGGGAUAUGUUCCAGACCCACGUUAGGAGUUUGGGUCUUCGUAGGUUUUGAUAUGGACAUUUUUUUGUAUCUUACGCUUUAUUAAUGAAAUUAUGUUUUUCUCCUUUUAAUGUGAUUGCGUAAUUGAUACUAGUAGGCACAUAUUCGUUAAGUCACCAGGCUCAGAUCAGCCCACUCGUACGGGUGAUCGCCCUGGCACCUAAGUGGUGAGCAGGAUAAGACUAAAUAAUCAUAUUAAACUUGAGUAGUUGUAAUAUGAUUAUUUUGUUCAUAUAUGUUAUGAAUGAAGUGUUGAUAUAAUUUAAAGUCGCCUUAAUUAGUUUAAGAUGAGACUCUAAAGAGUCGGAUAUGAA
rnacentral:lncRNA from 1 species